ensembl:ncRNA asRNA:CR45955 antisense RNA:CR45955
ACCUGGAUAUUUUUUGUCACCGAGACUUUCGUGUCGUUAAACGUAUACUCGCCAUUGGCCACCCGGUUGGCCACUCGUCCGAGGGUCCCACCGAUGUAGGCUCCCUUGUUGGCCAAGUAACUGGCGAUGUCGUCGAAGCCGAGGCACACAUCAUCCACCUUCUUGUAGGCGUCCGGCAAGCAGACGCUCUGGAUGAUGGCCCCCAGUUGGAUCACUGACACGGUCAUGCCCUUGGAGUUCUUAAGCGUGUACCGGCGCACCAUUUCGGGCGACUUGGUGAACGGAUUCACGGCCAAGCCGAAGAUUUCCUCCUCUAGGGUAAUCGACAUCUCGGCGCGUCUCGGUGUCGUUCCUUCCCCUUGAAACGGCUGACAGCAACUGCCUGGGUAUCAGGCAUACUCCGAUCCGGCACACCUCUGUUAUUAUGAAUUGCCAAAGUCGUUCGGGUCGCGAGCUUCUCCCUCAAAGUCAAACCGGGCAAUCAGCUUGUCAGAAGUCGAUUGCCCAUCCCCCGCAUUUUACCGCCCACAAUAAUGAGAGAUAAGCUGUCCUGUAAUCGCCACUUGACUGGAAUUUAGAAUAGUUUUUCAGGGGCGCGACUUUCUCGAGAGCUCAUAAAACAGAAAAAGCUUUUUGUUUGUUGUUGUUUGCUUGUUUGCGGCGAGUGUUUGC